CCGCGCCCGCCCGCCCGCUCCCUCCUGCCAAACUGUUACCCUGAGUGUUACCGGCAGGAGCAAUGACAUCAGGGCUUUAAAACAACUUGUUAUUCGGGGAGUAAUCAGUUGCAAUUAGGCAUUAAUUAAGUAUUAUGAAAGUUGAUUAUUUAAGUGAAUUCGGCUUUCGACUCUCCGACUAUGAGUUUGGGACCAAGGAGAAGAGAAUGGAUCUUGGAACAGCUGAGGGCACCCGGUGCACGGACCCGCCUGCAGGCAAGCCCGCCAUGGCGCCCAAGCGCAAGGGCGGCCUGAAGCUGAACGCCAUCUGCGCCAAGCUGAGUCGCCAGGUGGUGGUGGAGAAGCGAGCUGACGCCGGCUCCCACGCGGAGGGCAGCCCAUCGCGGCCCCGGGACCAAGAGCGCAGUGGCCCUGAGUCUGGGGCAGCCCGGGCCCCCCGCAGCGAGGAAGACAAGAGACGGGCAGUGAUCGAGAAGUGGGUGAACGGGGAGUACAGCGAGGAGCCGGCACCCACACCUGUGUUGGGGCGGAUUGCCCGUGAGGGCCUGGAGCUGCCUCCCGAGGGUGUCUACAUGGUGCAGCCCCAGGGGUGCAGCGAUGAGGAAGACCACGCGGAGGAGCCCCCCAAGGACGGCGGUGCCCUGGAGGAGAAGGAUUCAGACGGGGCAGCCUCCAAGGAGGACAGCGGCCCCAGCACCAAGCAGGCUUCAGGAGAGGCCUCCUCGCUGCGGGACUACGCGGCCUCCACCAUGACCGAGUUCCUCGGCAUGUUUGGCUACGACGACCAGAACACGCGGGACGAGCUGGCCAGGAAGAUCAGCUUUGAGAAGCUGCACGCGGGCUCCACCCCGGAGGCAGCCACCUCCUCCAUGCUGCCCACCUCCGAGGAUACCCUCAGCAAGCGGGCGCGGUUCUCUAAGUAUGAGGAGUACAUCCGCAAGCUCAAGGCUGGCGAGCAGCUCUCCUGGCCGGCCCCCAGCACCAAGACCGAGGAGCGGGUGGGCAAGGAGGUGGUGGGCCCCCUGCCCGGCCUGCGGCUGCCCAGCAGCACGGCCCACCUGGAGACCAAGGCCACCAUCCUGCCCCUGCCGUCGCACAGCAGCGUCCAGAUGCAGAACCUGGUGGCCCGGGCCUCCAAGUACGACUUCUUCAUCCAAAAACUGAAGACCGGCGAGAAUCUGCGGCCCCAGAACGGGAGCACCUACAAGAAGCCAUCCAAGUACGACCUGGAGAAUGUCAAGUACCUGCACCUCUUCAAACCCGGGGAGGGCAGCCCCGACAUGGGCGGGGCCAUCGCCUUCAAGACGGGCAAGGUGGGGCGCCCCUCCAAGUACGACGUCCGGGGCAUCCAGAAGCCAGGCCCCGCCAAGGUUCCGCCCACCCCCAGCCUGGCUCCCGCACCCCUCGCCAGCGUGCCCAGUGCCCCCAGCGCCCCCGGGCCAGGGCCAGAGCCUCCUGCCUCCCUGUCCUUCAACACUCCCGAGUACCUGAAGUCAACCUUCUCCAAAACAGACUCCAUCACCACGGGGACCGUCUCCACUGUCAAGAACGGACUGCCCACAGAUAAACCAGCCGUCACUGAAGAUGUAAACAUUUACCAGAAAUAUAUUGCCAGGUUCUCGGGCAGCCAGCACUGUGGCCACAUCCACUGUGCAUACCAGUACCGCGAGCACUACCACUGCCUUGAUCCCGAGUGUAACUACCAGAGGUUCACGAGUAAGCAGGACGUGAUCCGCCACUACAACAUGCACAAGAAGCGCGACAACUCCCUGCAGCACGGCUUCAUGCGCUUCAGCCCGCUGGACGACUGCAGCGUCUACUACCACGGCUGUCACCUCAACGGGAAGAGCACCCACUAUCACUGCAUGCAGGUGGGCUGUAACAAGGUGUACACAAGCACGUCCGACGUGAUGACCCACGAGAACUUCCACAAGAAGAAUACCCAGCUCAUUAACGACGGCUUCCAGCGCUUCCGAGCCACCGAGGACUGCGGCACAGCCGACUGCCAGUUCUACGGACAGAAGACCACACACUUCCACUGCAGGCGCCCCGGCUGCACAUUCACUUUCAAGAACAAGUGUGACAUUGAGAAGCACAAGAGCUACCACAUCAAGGACGAUGCCUACGCCAAGGACGGCUUCAAGAAGUUCUACAAGUACGAGGAGUGCAAGUACGAGGGCUGCGUGUACAGCAAGGCUACCAACCACUUCCACUGCAUCCGCGCCGGCUGCGGCUUCACCUUCACCUCCACCAGCCAGAUGACCUCUCACAAGCGCAAGCAUGAGCGCCGGCACAUCCGCUCCUCGGGCGCGCUGGGGCUGCCGCCCUCGCUGCUGGGCGCCAAGGACACGGAACACGAGGAGUCCAGCAACGACGACCUUGUCGACUUCUCCGCCCUGAGCAGCAAGAACUCCAGCCUGAGCGCCUCCCCUACCAGCCAGCAGUCCUCUGCGUCCCUGGCUGCCGCCACUGCCGCCACCGAGGCUGGGCCCAGCGCCACCAAACCUCCCAACAGCAAGAUCUCGGGGCUGCUGCCCCAGGGCCUGCCCGGCUCCAUCCCCCUGGCCCUGGCCCUCUCCACCUCGGGCCUGCCCACCCCCACACCCUACUUCCCCCUCCUGGCUGGCCGUGGGAGCACCUCCCUGCCCGUGGGCACCCCCAGCCUCCUGGGUGCCGUGUCGUCUGGGGCAGCAGCCUCAGCCACCCCUGACACGCCCACGCUGGUCGCCUCGGGAGCUGGAGACUCAGCCCCCGCGGCUGCCGCCUCUGUCCCGGCGCCGCCUGCCUCCAUCAUGGAGAGGAUCUCUGCAAGCAAGGGCCUCAUCUCGCCUAUGAUGGCCAGGCUGGCUGCAGCUGCCCUCAAGCCCUCUGCCACCUUUGACCCAGGUGAGCAGGCUGGGUCCUGCCCAGAAAGCAGGCACCUUCUGGACUGGGGUGGCCACCUGGCCUCAGGCUGCAGAGCAGAGUCGGGGGGUGUUUGGAAGAAGUGUCCAUGUGGCCCCUGCCUGCCAGCACCCCCUCUUUGCCUGGUCUUCGCCCCCAUCCUGUUGGUUUCUAUGUGGGGCCCCUGGUUGUGGCUCCCCACAGUAGGCGGGCCAUGCUUCUGUUUCCCCAUCUGUGAGCUGGGGGCGAUGGUCCCUGCCUCCUCGGCUGCCCCGCCUCCCUGGGGCCACUGCAGGUCCCCCCUCCCUGUCUGCUCACCCUCCCACAUCCCAAGUCCACCCUGAUGAGAGCAGGCCCAGGGCCCCUGGCGUGCCAAGCGUUUCCUCCAGCUGACCU
rnacentral:sRNA from 1 species